rnacentral:rRNA from 1 species
GAGUUUGAUCCUGGCUCAGAGCGAACGCUGGCGGCAGGCUUAACACAUGCAAGUCGAGCGGGCGUAGCAAUACGUCAGCGGCAGACGGGUGAGUAACGCGUGGGAACGUACCUUUUGGUUCGGAACAACACAGGGAAACUUGUGCUAAUACCGGAUAAGCCCUUACGGGGAAAGAUUUAUCGCCGAAAGAUCGGCCCGCGUCUGAUUAGCUAGUUGGUGAGGUAAUGGCUCACCAAGGCGACGAUCAGUAGCUGGUCUGAGAGGAUGAUCAGCCACAUUGGGACUGAGACACGGCCCAAACUCCUACGGG